CCUGUUGCUUUAGCUCACGUUUCCCUUCCCCUCCGGGCUGCACGCUGAGGAUGACCUCAGCGAGGUGUGUGUAAGGGGAAUGGAGGGUUUGGCUUCCUUGAGACAGAGGAUCUUGCUCGCCUCAAAGAGGAGGGCAGUUUGCCCCCUUCCUCCUGACUCCAAGACAAAAGAGAGAAGACUGAAGAGUGGUAAAGCUUGUGGUGUGAGACUUGGAUGGUUGUAAGACACAUUUGCACUGCAUCCUGAAAACAGUGAAGUGGAGAUGAUUUUGCUCUUUCAGCAGAUAGAGAGCCCUUCCGAAACAGAUAAACACGCACAGUCCUCAGUGGAGGCCCUCUACCGGCCUCAUCUACUCCUGAGCACAACUCUUGGACUCCCUUGGCUAAAGCCCACAGCUGAAGUUUGAGGGUUCCUUUUACCUUCCAGCUGGCAGGGACGAGGAUGUGCUUUAGCAAGAGCAAAGAUUUUCUACUGAUAAUAUUCAAAUGCAAAGCUGUCCUGUUGAUUUGGGGGUGGAUUAAAAGUAAUUAUAAAAUGUUAGAUUCUAAGAAGAGAGUAGAGCCUAAUUUGGUCAUCACUUUUGUGGUAACAUACUUCUUUCUUUGCUGCUAACUGGAUAUUGUCUUUGAAAAUGCUUUGACGUCUGCCAGGUGGCUCCAGCCAGCACCUACUCUUUUUUGCUUAGCUUACUAUGCCUAAUAUCCAGUGUCUGAAUCACAGAUUUGGGAUCUUUUAAAAACGGAAUUUGGCGCUUGAUUAUAGAGUCUCAUACUAUCUUCACAUCUUACUUUCUUGCAUAAAUUUUGAGUUUUAAGGACAAAGGCCACUCCAUAUUCCUCCUACUCUGAUUAACUCCCAGCAUGGAACAAGCAUGUAGUAGACUGGGAAAUCUUUGUUGGAUUUAAUCAACUGAAUGGAACCCUGGGUUUUUGUAUGAUGUCUAGAUAGUUUUAUGAAUAAAAUAGGUGUUUACUAAAUAAUUGUUUAGUAAAUGGCUAACCCAUCCCAGCCUCACUGGGAAAGAGAGGGAAAGGGGAGCUCUUCUCCCUUUUGCUGUGGUCAAAUAAAUACAUGAUUUAUUUGCUUUACUCUCUCUUCUAUAUCAACUAGUAAUUUUCAUAUCAUUAAAUUUUCAUUAAGGGAAGAGGUCAAAGGAAUAUCUUUAAAAGGUAAUUAUUGUGAUUACUCUUUGAUCCAGCAAUCUAAUUUCUAGGAAUUUAAUCUAAUGAAAUAAUUAAAAAGAGGCAAAACAUUAUAUUAAUAGAGCUACUCAUUGCAUUACUAUCUAUAACAGCCAUAACAAGAAAUGACUUAAAGUCUCUAAGGUUAUUUCAUACAGUAAUAAUAAUAGCUCAUGCUGAUUGAUUGCUCAUCAUGUGCCAGGCACUGCUGUAAAAGCUUUAUGCAGAUUAACCCACUUAAUCUGUAAUCUCACUUAAUCUGUCUCAAUUCUCCUGACAAACAUAUGAGGUAAAAAUCGUCAUCAUCCCCAUUUUAUAGGCCAGAAGACUAAGGCACAGAGGUUAAAAAAUUCCCAUUUGGAUUAAGGUAUUUUGGCACCAGCAUUUACAGUCUUAGCAUCAUUCUUUGCUCUCAUUAGGACUUCCUGAACAUUAUAAUAGGCACUAGGGACAGACAGAUUUAUGAAACAGAAAGGACUCCACUUCAUAUAGCCAUUAAAGAUAACAAUUAUGAAAACUAUGUACAAAUAAGGAAACACGCUAAUUUAUAUGGACAUACAUAUUUACAGAUACAUUAUGAUGCCAUUUAUUUUAUAUGGAUAUAGUGUAGAUAUAAAUUGUGAUCUUUUUAUUUAACAACAUAUCUUGGAUAUUAUUCCAUAUCCAGGCCUGCAGAUCUCCUUUACUUUUUAAAUGGCAGAAUACAAGGCUGUCUUCUGGGAAUAUACCAUAAUUUAACCAGUGUCCUAUUGAUGUACAUUCAGACUGUUUCUAGUCUAUUGCAGCUAAAAUAAUUGUGUAAUGAAUAUCUUUAUUUGCCAUAUGUGAUUUCAACAAUAACCAAGAAAUCUUAUUUUUGUUGGUAUUACAUUCAAUUAAUAAUUUGAUUUAGGGAAAGUUGACUUCUUUAUGAUAUUUAGUCUUUUUAUCUAAACAUAGGGAAUGCCAUUUCAUUUUAUCAAGAUUCAGUUACAUAUGUUCUGCAUGUUUAUUGUUAUUUUUAUUCUAAUGUAUUUUAUUAUUCUAGAAGCCAUUUUAAAUGGGAACUUUUUCAUUAUGUUUUCUAACUUGUUUUUAUACAGAAAAGUUAUUGAUUAUUGCAUUUAAUAACCAGCUUUUGUACUGGAUUAUCUUAUUGCUUCCAAUAAUUUUCUAUGUGACUCUCUUUUAGCUAUGCAAUCAUAUCAUCUGUAAAUAAUUAUUACUUUGGCUCAUCCUUUUCAUUGUUUUAUACAUUUAUUUCCUCUUAUUUAAUUGGGUAGUACUUAAACAAUAUUAGUUAAAUAUGUUAAACAAUGUCACCAUUUCCUCACAUUAUUGGGAAGGCUUUUUGUAUUCCAUCAUUAAACAACAUGCUGCCUUGGAAAAAAUAGGUAAUUUUUUUACCACUACCACAAUAUUAUAAAGAGAGUUUUAUCUGGAACACUUCUAUUUUCUUUUCUUUUCUUUUUUUUAGACAGUCUCACCUGUCUCCUAGGCUGGAGUGCAGUGGUGUGAUCUCAGCUCACUGCAACCUCUGCCUCCCGGGUUCAAGUGAUUCUCCUGCCUCAGCCUCCCAAGUAGCUGGGACUACAGCGUGCACCACCAUGCCCAGAUGAUUUUAUACUUUUAGUAGAGAUGGGGUUUCACUAUGUUGGCCAGGCUGGUCUUGAACUCCUGACCUCAGGUGAUCUGCCUGCUUUGGCCUCCCAAAGUGGUGGUAUUACAGGCAUGAGCCGCUGCGCCUGGCCGGAACACAUCUAUUUUUAAUGAGUAAACCUGAGAGCUUCAAAACCCCCUGGCCUGACUGCCAGGAAUAAUUCUGUUUCUAACUGUCCCCCACUAUUUCUCCAGGGAUCCAGGGCCUCUCAGAGUUCACCUGAGCUUUCCCAAGUCUGGUUUGUUCUCUCUACCCUGCUGCUAUUACUGCAAGUGACUUUCACAAGAUGCUUCUGAGCAUAGCAUUGCUCUGCUGUGACCACUGCAGAUGUCAAGAGAAUUUCUGCCUUUUGGAACUUGGACAAUAUUGGCCACCUACCCAGAGAGAGGAGAAGGAUAAUCCAGACAUAAAGAUAAGAACUCUUAAGUGCUGAGAGCUUAAAUAAUUUACCUAAGGACACACAACUCAUAUGUGGAAGCUCCCACACAUCCUUUGGAUCUCUGAUAAAGAGUCAUAUACUUAAAGAACCAUCCUCACAUUCCUGCCCAGACUGUGAGCUGCAUGAGAGAGGCCAUGUCUCAUUUUGUUCCAUUACAUCUCCAGCACUUAAGAGUGCUGGACACAUAACGAGUGCCUGACACAUAACGAGUGCUGAAUAAAUGUUUGUUAACUGAUGAAAUGAAUCUUUUGUCUUUAUUUCAUAGAAUUAAAGAUGCCUUGAGUCAGAAGUCACCCGAUCCCACUCACCCUUUAGAGGUCCUUUAGCACCAUUUUAACCAACUGGUCAACUAACUGAUCUUGAACACUCCAUAUUUGAAUAGGUCUGACCACUAGUGGCAGCCACUAUUCAGGGGAGUAUAGUAACGAGCUCCAGUGCUCUCCCUUACCCUACAACUCAUGAAAGACUUCACCCAAGUUUUUUCUUCUUUAGACUGUGUGUGCCCAUUGCUUUAGACUACUCUCCUGUGAUCAUCCUGUCUGUAUUCUCCUGAAUGUGUGCCCCUCAUGUUUGGUAUUCAGGGAAAAGAUCUCAACAUUAGAUAUGGUCUGACCAGAUUUAUUAGAUUCUGAAGUGAUAUUCUGCUAAUUUAAUCUCACUGCUAAUUUAUACAGAGUUUGCAGACAACUUCAACUUCCAUUUAAAAUACAUAUAAUGGAGGUAGUUUGAUCGCUGCCCAGUGUUUCCUAAGUACCUGUGCUGUGCCUCUCUUUUCCACACCACUCUGUUCCUCUUGACACACUGGAAGCCAAAAAUUCUCAUUCACCCUAUUUAAAGAACUGGCAAGAGGCUUAAGGGUAUCCUGGACAAUUGAGAAAUGGGGGAUAUUCAUAUGGGGCAGUAUAG